rnacentral:rRNA from 1 species
GUUUGAUCCUGGCUCAGGAUGAACGCUAGCGGGAGGCCUAACACAUGCAAGUCGAACGGGAUCCCCGAGCAAUCGGGGUGAGAGUGGCGCACGGGUGAGUAACGCGUAUGCAACCUACCUUUAACUGAGGGAUAGCCCAUAGAAAUGUGGAUUAAUACCUCAUAGUUCUAUUAAGCCGCAUGGUUUAAUAGAUAAAGCUCCGGCGGUUAAAGAUGGGCAUGCGUGACAUUAGCUAGUUGGUAAGGUAACGGCUUACCAAGGCUACGAUGUCUAGGGGUUCUGAGAGGAUGAUCCCCCACACUGGUACUGAGACACGGACCAGACUCCUACGGGAGGCAGCAGUGAGGAAUAUUGGUCAAUGGGCGCAAGCCUGAACCAGCCAUCCCGCGUGAAGGAUGAAGGCCCUAUGGGUCGUAAACUUCUUUUAUACACCAAGAAAAGUUCGGACGUGUCCGAAUCUGACGGUAGUGUAUGAAUAAGCAUCGGCUAACUCCGUGCCAGCAGCCGCGGUAAUACGGAGGAUGCAAGCGUUAUCCGGAUUCAUUGGGUUUAAAGGGUGCGUAGGCGGCUCUUUAAGUCAGUGGUGAAAUCUUGCCGCUUAACGGUAAAAUUGCCAUUGAUACUGAAGAGCUUGAGUACAGUUGAGGUAGGCGGAAUGUGUAGUGUAGCGGUGAAAUGCUUAGAUAUUACACAGAACACCGAUUGCGUAGCAGCUUACUAGAGUUCACUGACGCUGAUGCACGAAAGCGUGGGGAUCAAACAGGAUAGAUACCCUGGUAGUCCACGCCGUAAACGAUGAUAACUCGCNNUUGGCGAUACACAG